GAAAGAAAGGGAAAGAAGAAAGAAUUGAAGCUGAAAGAACCUUUAAAAGAAGUCUCGUGACAUCGUUGGAAGGAGGUGGCGAGGUUUAUCAGAUUCAGCUCUGAUUCAAUCCGCUGGAAUACCAGAUUAAAACUACAUGCUAUUACCUUUCUGAUGACGGGCCUCUUGUUACCUCCAUUUGUUUUGUUUCAUCAUAG